CUCCCGGUCUCCAUCUCCGGGAAUACUGCAGAGGCACACCAUCCUUGCCUGAAGUGCGGCGGGUUCAAGCCCUCCAAGCCAUGGCACAAUCCUCCGUUCCUGCGCGGCCUCCCGGCCGUUCGGACCGGUCGUCUGUCGCGUUUCGCGUUCAGUCCAUGAGCGGGGU
rfam:Aureimonas sp. AT20, complete genome.